GAUGAACGCUAGCGGCAGGCUUAAUACAUGCAAGUCGAACGGGAUUCGAGGUAGCAAUACUUUGAUGAGAGUGGCGCACGGGUGCGUAACGCGUAUGCAACCUACCUUUAACAGGUGAAUAGCCCCGAGAAAUCGGGAUUAAUACACCGUAACAUUGCGAGAUGGCAUCAUCAUGCAAUUAAAGAUUUAUCGGUUAAAGAUGGGCAUGCGUGACAUUAGCUAGUUGGUGAGGUAACGGCUCACCAAGGCAACGAUGUCUAGGGGUCCUGAGAGGGUUAUCCCCCANACUGGUACUGAGACACGGACCAGACUCCUACGGGAGGCAGCAGUAAGGAAUAUUGGUCAAUGGGCGCAAGCCUGAACCAGCCAUGCCGCGUGCAGGAAGACGGCCCUAUGGGUUGUAAACUGCUUUUGUCAGGGAUAAACCUUUGUACGUGAUACAGAGCUGAAGGUACCUGAAGAAUAAGCAUCGGCUAACUCCGUG
rnacentral:rRNA from 1 species